GGGGAAUAUUGGACAAUGGGGGAAACCCUGAUCCAGCGACGCCGCGUGAGUGAAGAAGUGUUUCGGCAUGUAAAGCUCUAUCAGCAGGGAAGAAAAUGACGGUACCUGACUAAGAAGCCCCGGCUAACUAUGUGCCAGCAGCCGCGGUAAUACGUAGGGGGCAAGCGUUAUCCGGAUUUACUGGGUGUAAAGGGAGCGUAGACGGCGAUGCAAGUCUGGAGUGAAAGCCCGGGGCUCAACCCCGGGACUGCUUUGGAAACUGUGUUGCUAGAGUGCAGGAGAGGUAAGUGGAAUUCCUAGUGUAGCGGUGAAAUGCGUAGAUAUUAGGAGGAACACCAGUGGCGAAGGCGGCUUACUGGACUGUAACUGACGUUGAGGCUCGAAAGCGUGGGGAGCAAAC
rnacentral:rRNA from 1 species